AGAACGAACGUUAGCGGCGCGCUUAACACAUGCAAGUCGAACGAGAAAGCACCUUCGGGUGUGAGUAAAGUGGCGCACGGGUGAGUAUCACGUGGGUUAUCUGCCCUUUGGUGGGGGACAACACUUCGAAAGGAGUGCUAAUACCACAUAAGUCGGCUUCGGCCGGGAAAGACGGCUUCGGCUGUCGCCAGAGGAUGAGCCCGCGGCCCAUCAGCUUGUUGGUAGGGUAAUGGCCUACCAAGGCUACGACGGGUAGCUGGUCUAAGAGGACGAUCAGCCACACUGGAACUGAGACACGGUCCAGACUCCUACGGGAGGCAGCAGUGGGGAAUAUUGCGCAAUGGGCGAAAGCCUGACGCAGCGACGCCGCGUGGGUGAUGAAGGCCUUCGGGUCGUAAAGCCUUGUGGGAGAGGGACGAACAACCCGGGGGAAUAAUACCCCUUGGGUCUGACGGUACCUCUUCAGAAAGCACCGGCUAACUCCGUGCCAGCAGCCGCGGUAAUACGGAGGGUGCAAACGUUGUUCGGAAUUACUGGGCGUAAAGCGCGUGUAGGUGGCUUUGUAAGUCAGAUGUGAAAGCCCUCGGCUCAACCGAGGAAGGGCAUUUGAAACUGCGAGGAUAGAGUACGGGAGAGGGUUGUAGAAUUCCAGGUGUAGAGGUGAAAUUCGUAGAUAUCUGGAGGAAUACCGGUGGCGAAGGCGGCAACCUGGACCGAUACUGACACUGAGACGCGAAAGCGUGGGGAGCAAACAGGAUUAGAUACCCUGGUAGUCCACGCCGUAACGAUGGAUACUAGUGCAGCGGGUAUCCACC
rnacentral:rRNA from 1 species